UGGGGAAUAUUGCACAAUGGGCGAAAGCCUGAUGCAGCGACGCCGCGUGAGGGAUGACGGCCUUCGGGUUGUAAACCUCUUUCAGUAGGGACGAAGCGCAAGUGACGGUACCUGCAGAAGUAGCACCGGCUAACUACGUGCCAGCAGCCGUGGUAAUACGUAGGGUGCGAGCGUUGUCCGGAAUUACUGGGCGUUAAGAGCUCGUAGGCGGUUUGUCACGUCGUCUGUGAAAUCCUAGGGCUUAACCCUGGACGUGCAGGCGAUACGGGCUGACUUGAGUACUACAGAGGAGACUGGAAUUUCUUGUGUAGCGGUGGAAUGCACAGAUUUGAGGAAGAACACCGAUGGCGAAGGAAGGUCUCUGGGUAGUAACUGACGCUGAGGAGCGAAAGGAUGAGGAGCGAACAGG
rnacentral:rRNA from 1 species